AUUUCAAAUUCUCGCUUGCAAAUAACUUUGCUUUCUUUUUUAUUUAAAAAAGAAAGCAAAGUUAUUUGCAAGCGAGAAUUUGAAAUCAU
rnacentral:miRNA from 1 species